GACGAACGCUGGCGGCGUGCUUAACACAUGCGAGUCGAACGGAAAGGCCCUGCUUUUGUGGGGUGCUCGAGUGGCGAACGGGUGAGUAACACGUGAGUAACCUGCCCUUGACUUUGGGAUAACUUCAGGAAACUGGGGCUAAUACAGGAUAGGAGCUCCUGCUGCAUGGGGGGGGUUGGAAAGUUUCGGCGGUUGGGGAUGGACUCGCGGCUUAUCAGCUUGUUGGUGGGGUAGUGGCUUACCAAGGCUUUGACGGGUAGCCGGCCUGAGAGGGUGACCGGCCACAUUGGGACUGCGGUACGGCCCAGUCUCCUACGGGACGCAGCAGUGGGGAAUAUUGCACAAUGGGCGGAAGCCUGAUGCAGCAACGCCGCGUGCGGGAUGACGUCCUUCGGGUUGUAAACCGCUUUGGCCGGUGACGAAGCGUGAGUGACGGUAAUGGGUAAAGAAGCACCGGCUAACUACGUG
rnacentral:rRNA from 1 species